rnacentral:rRNA from 1 species
UACGGAGGGAGCUAGCGUUGUUCGGAUCUACUGGGCGUAAAGCGCACGUAGGCGGCGUCGUAAGUCAGGGGUGAAAUCCCGGAGCUCAACUCCGGAACUGCCCUUGAAACUGCAAUGCUAGAAUCUUGGAGAGGCGAGUGGAAUUCCGAGUGUAGAGGUGAAAUUCGUAGAUAUUCGGAAGAACACCAGUGGCGAAGGCGACUCGCUGGACAAGUAUUGACGCUGAGGUGCGAAAGCGUGGGGAGCAAACAGG